rnacentral:rRNA from 1 species
CAGCAGCCGCGGUAAUACAGAGGGUGCGAGCGUUAAUCGGAUUUACUGGGCGUAAAGCGUGCGUAGGCGGCUUCUUAAGUCGGAUGUGAAAUCCCUGAGCUUAACUUAGGAAUUGCAUUCGAUACUGGGAAGCUAGAGUACGGGAGAGGAUGGUAGAAUUCCAGGUGUAGCGGUGAAAUGCGUAGAGAUCUGGAGGAAUACCGAUGGCGAAGGCAGCCAUCUGGCCUAAUACUGACGCUGAGGUACGAAAGCAUGGGGAGCAAACAGGAUUAGAUACCCCAGUAGUCCCUGUCUCUUAUAC